CCUACGAGAGGCAGCAGUGAGGAAUAUUGGUCAAUGGACGAGAGUCUGAACCAGCCAAGUAGCGUGAAGGAUGACUGCCCUCUGGGUUGUAAACUUCUUUUAUAUGGGAAUAAAAUGUUCCACGUGUGGCAUUUUGUAUGUACCACAUGAAUAAGGAUCGGCUAACACCGUGUCAGCACCCGCGCUAAUACGGAGGAUCCGAGCGUUAUCCGGAUUUAUUGGGUUUAAAGGGAGCGUAGGUGGAUUGUUAAGUCAGUUGUGAAAGUUUGCGGCUCAACCGGAAAAUUGCAGUUGAAACUGGCAGUCUUGAGUACAGUAAGGGUGGGAGGAAUUCGUGGUGUAGCGGUGAAAUGCUUAGAUAUCACGAAGAACUCCGAUUGCGAAGGCAGCUCACUGGACUGCAACUGACGCUGAGGCUCGAAAGUGUGGGUAUCAAACAGGAUUAGAUACCCUUGUAGUC
rnacentral:rRNA from 1 species